UAAGACUGAGCUAAAAGAUGAGAAAUCCUAGUCACUGGCCAAGCAGAAUUUGUACCUAAUAUAAGUCUCUUUGAGUUACUUGGGGCCUUAAUAUGGUGGUGGGUAGAACUUGGGCAGCCUGGCAGAAAGCGCCCAUGUGGCUACAUGGUUCAGGUGGCUUUUGACAUAAAGAUUUAUUGUAACAUCUAUGGAUACAAAUUUCUCACACUAGAAAAAUUAGUUAACUAACAAUGUCUUGCUUGUUUAAAGGUUUUAGGAAAAGAGUGCCCUAGUUCAGGCUCACUGUGACCAUCCUGAUAGCUCCCUUUCUAAAGUCCUCUGCAAUAUAGUAUUCUGUGCCAGUUUCUUUUCCUCUAUAGUGUCUUGGAGAAAGUCAACUGUGUUGUGCAUGGAAGACCCUCUAUGUGUUGAAGAUUUUACAGAUGGGUUAAAACUUCACAACUCUAUUUUGUCCAGAUAUGGACCUGAAUUAUCUUGAGCUACCUUUUGUCUCCCAGGUUCUUUGCUGACCUGUGAGAAAGACUUCUACACCAACUAUGUGAGGAUGAGGCCAUGCGACCCAUGAUGGCAGAAGUGUGUGACAGCUGAGAGAAAAUACUGCAGCUUUAGUGGGUUUCUCCCCUGUCCUGGUGACCCCUAACAUCUCAGGAUGAUUCAUCUUGUCACAAUAUGACAGAACAUCAGUCAAGUUGGCUAAGGUUCCUGAAAGACUAAAAGGAAACAAAUCUUUUCUUUGGACAGUUUUGAGUAUUUGUAUAUGCAUAAGAAGUAAUAAACAUUUAUUGUUUCAAGUAA